UAGGUACAUUUGCUGAAACCUUANUAACGCCUAUCGCUGGUAGGUCAACCACAACGACUCUNAACAAGAUUGGUUACCCGGUUAANACUCUAUCCAGUUUUGACCGGGGUGCUGGUCGGUUUCUGCUUUCAGAAACUGGCGACACCUUUAGUCUGCGGGAACAUUCUUCGAAUAACCUGCAGUCGGCAUAGCUCCGUGUAUAACAGAGCGCAGAGGUCGACUCACAGACUAAAUAGCGGUGGACGUCGCUAAGAUACGGCGUUUCAGAUAUAGUCGCGUCCCUGGGUUUGCGCCCUCUGGGAUGUCUGUGUCCCUGCACACAGAAGCCACGUUCCGUAGGUGAACCUGCGGAAGGAUCAUUA
rnacentral:rRNA from 1 species